UUAUUCUUCGUUCGAAUUUAGUCAAAUACAGUCUGUGAUACAAAACGAGUAUUAUGGCGAGCUAUGUAUGGUCAUAUUAUACAAAACUCCACACAGGUGCAGGUAUAGGUGCGAAAUGCAAUUUUUGUGGGAAAUAUUAUUCUCCUACGCCAAACUAUUUCAAUAUAUUCAGAAGACAUACAGGCCCAAUGAGAUCACAUUUAAGUAUUGAACAUGGAAUUGAUAGAAAUAAAGCGAGAGAACAUGAAAACUGGUUAUUAGACUUUAGUAAUAUAAAUAAUAUUAGACUAAAUUGGAAUGAUACAAUAACGUGUCGACGUUGCAAUAAAGUUUUUCCAAGGAAUUUUGUCUAUUUAAUGCGCCAUUUGUACAUUGAUCAUCAAAUCGAGGAGGUACCUGAGGAAUUUAAAUAAAUGGGGCAAAGUGUUAUAGACAUUCCUAAAAGCAGCUACAAACAACUAAUACGCAAUUUUUAUCAAUUUGGCAAUAUAAAUGACUGUAUAUCACUAUAUCUUGGAGAUUCUGUGUUAAACAGCUCUCAGUCAACGGAUUUUGAUAACAUUGCUGAAUAUGAUGGCCCUUCCGAUCUUGAAGAUAUAUGUAAAGAUAUUGAAUUAUUGAUCAGUUCUCAGUCAACGGAUUUUGAUAAAAAAUUGCU